UAGUGACUAAAAUUAUUACGGCUUCCUCUUAUGAAAUAAAUUAUUUGGCAGAGUGUAAGUUCCUUAGGGGCCAAAAAUUAGGAAAUGUUCAUCAGUAUAUCCUCUGGGUCCAACAGGAAGUUGUUUGCUCAACAUUUGAGUGAAUGAGUAACCAGCAGAAGUGGUGACAAGUGCAGCAGAAAAAUUGGGACAUUUCAGAAUAAAGGCCAGCUGGUGACAGACGUUGACUUGCAUAUCUGGAAGCCAUCUCUUCCUGGAUUUGUGACAUUAAGGAUGAGUGGACAUUUUUGAAAAGAAAGCAAAAAGAAGGCAAUGCCAACUUCAGACCCAGGUGCUGGAUUCCUGCCUGGCUUCCCACGAUUUAGGGGCUCCAAACUUCCAUGUGUCUUCCAUGAAAUUUUCUAAGACUCCUCACCACCACCCCUCUGGUGCCUGGGCCUGGCUGGAGCUGGUAGUGCUGUCUGGGCAGGUUCCCUGAGCCUGGGUGGGGUCUGACAUGUACUCAGUCUCUGUUUCUACCCUGUAGGGUUCUCUCCAACCCUCCUCCUUGUGCCUGGGGUGGACCUGAUGCCCCAAAGAGUUCCAGAAUUUGUGCCCAUGGGGUCAUCCUGGGGCCCUGGGGCUGGGCUCCAGUUCCAGGAAAGCAGCCUGGCCAGUGUAUCAAUCCUGCUGACAGGCACAGUAUUGCUUUCAUGGGAUGGUGUCAAAUUGGGCUACUAGAAUGAUGCUGACACUCAGAUUUUGAGUGAUUCUCACUCACUUGAACACAUGAUGAGUCCAGGGCUCUGGGCUCCCAAUAGCCCACAGUCGACCCUUGAGUUUGAGCUACGUGUGUGGUCUCUCGCAUCUUCAGUCUCCUGUCAUGUUCCCACUGUGUUGCUGCCUCUGGUCUAUAGCACCCAAAGUGGCAGGUGUUAUUUAUCCUGUGCACUACCCCCUGCUGCUGACACCCAGGGUAGUCACCUCAUCUCUGCAAACUCUGCAUCACAUGUAAUACAGUCCUUGGGGGUUGCCCCACCUGUCUCCUCCAAGGGCUUUCUAGACUGUUGCUCUGCAACAUCAAAGGGCCCUUCCAAUCCAUGUCCUCUCCUGCCUCCAGUUGACGUGGUGACUUUGUGCUCUCCGGGGUUAAGCUGAGCCAGAUGAGAGUUAGGGAGUCUUUGUAUAAAUGGAGUCACUUUUCUUGCUCUCCUUACUGGGCCCUCCCCUACCCACUCCACUGGUGAUGGUGGGUAGAAACCAGGGGUGCAGUCAACAGGGAAAGAGAUCACAUUUUGGGAAUGUUGUGAUUGCAGCCUAAAGAGCUCAAAAGAAGACAUAGUUAGAAAAUGUGUUGUUUUAUAUUUAUGCCAUAAAAUUCCAAAUGAUAAAUUUAACACGACCAUAAAAUAAAUUAUUGUUCUCAUUUUCCUGCAUACUGUGUGCAUUUGUGGUCUUCUUCAAAAGAGCGGAAGAGCAACCUUUGAAAGAGGCAUCGGAAGCCAGUACUCAAGGCAGCAGGACGGAUGGUGCGGCAUCACGAAUAAUGAUGUAACAGCAUGAAACAAAUGGAAUUAGGGCUCUUAGAUCAAGAAGAGCUAUAUUGUUUCAACCCAGACAUGUUCUGACAAGCUAUAGGACUUGAAUAAUAACCACGUUGUUACCUUUUCCUCACAGUGGCAGAUAUGAAAUUACCCAGUAACAGCACGUUUGACAAUAAAGAAUAUGAAGAGAUGAUUUUUGGAUCUAAACUGAAAGAGAUGGUGUCUGGAUACUUUGAAGAAUCACCAAGUGCUUUGAUUGGACAAUAAACACAUUGGUACCUCUUCUCCA